UAUGCUUUGGGGAGCUGUAAGUAAGCUUUGAUCCAGAGAUUUCCGAAUGGGGAAACCCAGCACGAGUUAUGUCGUGUUAUCUGCAUGUGAAUACAUAGCAUGCAAGAAGGCAGACCCGGAGAACUGAAACAUCUUAGUACCCGGAGGAAGAGAAAGAAAAAUCGAUUCCCUGAGUAGCGGCGAGCGAAACGGGAAGAGCCCAAACCAAUAAGCUUGCUUAUUGGGGUUGUAGGACACUCUGUACGGAGUUACAAAAGAAUUUGUUAGACGAAUAACCUGGAAAGGUUAAUCAGAGAAGGUAAUAAUCCUGUAGUCGAAAACGAAUUCUCUCUUGAGUGGAUCCUGAGUACGACGGAGCACGUGAAAUUCCGUCGGAAUCUGGGAGG
rnacentral:rRNA from 1 species